UACAACGGCCGUCUGCGAGCCGGUGCUUUUGCAAAAAUCACCUCCUCUCAGCGAGCCGUCGCCUCGCGAGACGACGGCAAUGUCCCGUGCUCCGAGGCGGUAAUAGACGCUGCAGCACCGUUGUACAGCCUCGUCUCCGCCGACCGCACGCUCGGAUCCCGCGCGAACAGCAGCUGAUUUGGGCGCGCGCGGGAGGCUGCUCUCCUACGUCGAGCAAGCUGCUCGCGUGCUCACGCGGACCACCAGGAGGAGCUCCGCCGCCGCCGAUUCGACCUCCGCAAGCGCUGAAUCGAGCUUCGCAGCCGCUGAAUCGACCUCCGCCGUUGUCAAUUCGAGCUCCGCAGGCGCCAAAUCGACCUCCGCAGGCGCCGAAUCGAGCUCCGACUCCGACGCAGUGUGGGCCUGCUUCCUACCGGGCGACCUCCCGCCACUCGCCGACAGGGAGCUCUCCCCCGCGCCGCCAUCCAAGAAGGAGCUCUUCAUGCGCCUUUCUGACAGUGACAGCGCCAUCCUCCUCGCCGACCGCCUCAUGAUUAUGACUUGAAAGGCCCGUUCAGAUGUUCAUGUGAACCUUCCUGCUCUUCAGAAGCUUGAUGCGAUGCUCAUUGAAGUGAUGGACUCAAUGAUAGAUACAGAGUUCUUGUAGUUUCCCUAUCUCAAUUUCAGCGAAAAAGGCUUGUUUUUCUAGCUAAGCUUGUUCAUCAGAUCCUCAAAGCUGCAAAAUCGAUCAAUGAACAAGUCCUAUUCCAUAUGCCUAUUCCUGCAGCUGUUAUGGAUGCCCUCCCAAAACUUCAUUCAGAGCCUGUUAGUCUGAUGCUGGUGGAUGGUAGCCUGGUAGUCUGAGUCUGAGCCAGGAUGCAUGUACUAUAUGCUAGUAUUCAGAAAAGUACAAGUAGACUAACUGGUGGAUGGUAGAGUAAUUCCUAGUAGUGUUAGACUUGUGGUGAGCUGCUGUGUCGGUAUGUUGAGCAUUGCCAAAGGGUGUAUGCUGAGCUGAAUUGAGUGAUAUGAUCUGUAAGGGGGCAGGUGUUGGUGAGAUGUUGCAGGUUAUUAGAGGAGGUUGUGCAAGGCAUAUCUUGUCUUGUGCAGUAAAGCAGUAGCAAGGCUGUAUUGCAACAGAAAUCUUCAGUCGGCUGUGCAUUGAAAUCUAGUAGAUAGAUAGGAAGAUUGUGUAAGGCUUCAUUGCUUGGGUACCGUAUGAGUUCAUUAGAUGUAACAUGAUUUUGAAUUUCUUGUCGUGUUUUCCAAUUACAUGUGUGAAGCAAAAAUGUGUAUGUUAUGCCUACUGGAAGCUUUGUUUCUCUGUGAAACUAGCAUUGCCCUCUACUUACUGUGAUGAGAAAUUUCAGAACUUGGGACUCAAUUCUUCUACUAAUUGUGAUC